GACGAACGCUGGCGGCGUGCUUAACACAUGCAAGUCGAACGGUAAACCUGCUUCGGUGUGGGAUCCUUGGCUAACGAGUGAGUAACACGUGGGCAACCUGCCCUCCGCUCUGUUUUAACUCCCUUCAAUUAGCUCUAGUUCUUGCUAUGACCGCUCUCCUCCUGCUCUGGUGGUGGUAGGAUUUAUCGGCUGGGGAUGGUCCCGCGGCCUAUCAGCUUGUUGGUGGGGUAGUGGCCUACCAAGGCGACGACGGGUAGCCGGCCUGAGAGGGUGACCGGCCACACUGGGACUGAGACACGGCCCAGACUCCUACGGGAGGCAGCAGUGGGGAAUAUUGCGCAAUGGGCGAAAGCCUGAUGCAGCGACGCCGCGUGGGGGAUGACGGCCUUCGGGUUGUAAACCGCUUUCAGCAGGGACGAAGCGAAAGUGACGGUAACGGGAGAAGAAGCACCGGCUAACUACGUG
rnacentral:rRNA from 1 species